rnacentral:rRNA from 1 species
CAGUAGCCGCGGUAAUACGUAGGUGGCAAGCGUUGUCCGGAAUUACUGGGCGUAAAGCGUGCGCAGGCGGUUCGCUAAGACAGAUGUGAAAUCCCCGGGCUUAACCUGGGAACUGCAUUUGUGACUGGCGGGCUAGAGUAUGGCAGAGGGGGGUAGAAUUCCACGUGUAGCAGUGAAAUGCGUAGAGAUGUGGAGGAAUACCGAUGGCGAAGGCAGCCCCCUGGGCCAAUACUGACGCUCAUGCACGAAAGCGUGGGGAGCAAACAGGAUUAGAUACCCCUGUAGUCCCUGUCUCUUAUAC